UUUGAUCAUGGCUCAGAUUGAACGCGGCGGCAUGCCUUACACAUUCAAGUCGAACGGCAGCACGGGGGCAACCCUGGUGGCGAGUGGCGAACGGGUGAGUAAUGCAUCGGAACGUGCCCAGUAGUGGGGGAUAACCAGUCGAAAGAUUGGCUAAUACCGCAUACGACCUUCGGGUGAAAGCGGGGGACCGCAAGGCCUCGCGCUAUUGGAGCGGCCGAUGUCUGAUUAGCUAGUUGGUGAGGUAAAGGCUCACCAAGGCGACGAUCAGUAGCUGGUCUGAGAGGACGGCCAGCCACACUGGGACUGAGACACGGCCCAGACUCCUACGGGAGGCAGCAGUGGGGAAUUUUGGACAAUGGGCGCAAGCCUGAUCCAGCCAUGCCGCGUGCGGGAAGAAGGCCUUCGGGUUGUAAACCGCUUUUGGCAGGAACGAAACGGCGCCCCCUAAUACGGGCGUAAUGACAAACCUC
rnacentral:rRNA from 1 species